rnacentral:rRNA from 1 species
GUGAACAAUUAAGGGCGCGCGGUGGAUGCCUAGGCUCUCGGAGGCGAAGAAGGACGCGAUAAGCCGCGAUAGUCCACGGCGAGGUGCAAGUAACCCUUGACCCGUGGGUUUCCGAAUGGGGCAACCCGGCCGUCUAGAUGACGGUCAUGCAUUAUCAUGCAGGCGAACGCGGGGAACUGAAACAUCUCAUUACCCGCAGGAGAAGAAAACAAAAUGUGAUUCCCCCAGUAGUGGCGAGCGAACGGGGAAGAGCCCAAACCGCUGCCGUUUCGGCGACAGCGGGGUCAUGGGACCACGCCAUUCGAAACAAGAUGAAGUGCAAUUACCUGGAAAGGUAAGCCGCGGAGGGUGAUAGCCCCGUGCACGUCAAUUCUUGUGGAGAUAGUGGAAUCCCGAGUAGGGCGGGACACGAGAAAUCCUGCCUGAAUUCGCCAGGACCUCCUGGCAAGGCUAAAUACUCCCGAGAGACCGAUAGUGAACCAGUACCGCGAGGGAAAGGUGAAAAGUACCCCGAGCAGGGGGGUGAAAUAGACCCUGAACCCGCGCGCCUACAAGCGGUCGGAGCUGCCUUGUGCAGUGACGGCGUGCCUUUUGCAUAAUGAGCCUACGAGUUAGUCGUCACCAGCGAGGUUAAGGGCUUCAGGCCCGUAAGCCGAAGUGAAAGCGAGCCUUAACAGGGCGUCAAGUUGGUGGCGCUAGACGCGAAACCUUGUGAUCUACCCACGAGCAGGUUGAAGUCGCGGUAACACGUGAUGGAGGACCGAACCGGUAAACGUUGAAAAGUUUUCGGAUGACUCGCGGGUAGGGGUGAAAGGCCAAUCAAACUGGGAAAUAGCUCGUACUCUCCGAAAUGCAUUUCGGUGCAGCCUGUGAUGUUCUGUUCCAGAGGUAGAGCUACUGGUUGGACGCGAGGGCUUCACCGCCUAUCAAAUCCGGAUAAACUCCGAAUGCUGGAACACGAAAUCAUGGAGUGAGCCCGCGGGUGCUAAGGUCCGCGGACGAGAGGGAAAGAACCCGGACCACCGGCUAAGGUCCCGGAUGGACAGUUAAGUUGAUCAAACGAGGUGGGAUCGCUGAGACAGCUAGGAUGUUGGCUUGGAAGCAGCCAUUCAUUUAAAGAGUGCGUAACAGCUCACUAGUCGAGCGAUCCCGCGUGGAUAAUACACGGGCAU